GGGGGUGAACGGUCUCGACUUUAGCUGUUGAGACAGGGGAAGCGUGUCGAGGAAGCCGGGAUGAUCUCGUAAACCAUGAAACCUGUGCACACAUAACUGCAGACAACAGUCGCAGUGAUUUCGCACUAGCUGCAUAAGCUAGCUCCGAAUCCGUCAGCCCAGGGGCGCUCUCGCUCUGGAAUCUGGCGUCGCUAGAGAGCUUUUCAUCUGCGUGGCGUUGCGAACGCGUAGAGAGAACAGUUUCGCAAAUGAGUUCGUUGAAUACUUGUGUUUGAGAGAUUCAGAACUGAGAAAACGUAAAUAACACUACACACGUAGAAGCCCUGUUUGAGCUCUGAAGGACCCGGGUUCGAUUCCCGGCACCUCCACGA
rnacentral:tmRNA from 1 species